CAGCGGACGUAAGGAUAUGGAAGUAAUUACUUUGCAUGUGGUUUGUACAACAGCUGUAGUGAGUUUAAAAUAAACAGUACGAAGUCAAACAAAGUGUUUUAUUUUUGCAACUCCUUCACCCCCCGCUGUGCUUAGUAUAUGAGCGCUCAGUCGCUCAAUCGCUCAGUCUGAGUUUCCAACAUGUACUGUUCAGUGUUAUUGUUGUUGUUCUUUGCUAUACUGCCUGGAGUCAUCGGAUCACCGCCGACUCCUCCUCCUCCUAUCGGUCAGCGGCAGCGAGAAGCACAACAGGUUGGUUUUUUAUCGUUUGUAUUGUUAUCCGAUUACUAAACUGAAGAUUUUUACUAUAAUAUUAUCUUUGUGGUUUUUACCAUCAGAUACCCGAUUCACCUGAUUCUCCUGACGCCCAGCAUGCUGAGGACUUUUUAGAGGCUUUAAUAGCAGAAGAACAGAUACCCGAUUCACCCGAUUCUCCAGGAGCCCAGCACGAUGAGGACUUUUUUGAGGCUUUAUUAGAAGAAGAAGAAGAACAGCAGUCAUCUGACCCUUGGGAAUUCCCAUCACGCGGUAGCUGCAGACGCAGAACUCCUCCUCCUUCGAGUUCUUCAGAUUCGG